rnacentral:rRNA from 1 species
GACGAACGCUGGCGGCGUGCUUAACACAUGCAAGUCGAACGGAAAGGCCCUGCUCUUGUGGGGUGCUCGAGUGGCGAACGGGUGAGUAACACGUGAGUAACCUGCCCUUGACUUUGGGAUAACUUCAGGAAACUGGGGCUAAUACCGGAUAGGAGCUCCUGCUGCAUGGUGGGGGUUGGAAAGUUUCGGCGGUUGGGGAUGUACUCGCGGCUUAUCAGCUUGUUGGUGGGGUAGUGGCUUACCAAGGCUUUGACGGGUAGCCGGCCUGAGAGGGUGACCGGCCACAUUGGGACUGAGAUACGGCCCAGACUCCUACGGGAGGCAGAAGUGGGGAAUAUUGCACAAUGGGCGGAAGCCUGAUGCAGCAACGCCGCGUGCGGGAUGACGGCCUUCGGGUUGUAAACCGCUUUCGCCUGUGACGAAGCGUGAGUGACGGUAAUGGGUAAAGAAGCACCGGCUAACUACGUG